GCGCCAGGCAGGGCCUGUCCCGCCUGGGGAGACUGCGCCCGGGAUAAUAGGAGCGCUUGGCCUCUGAGACUACCCGGCAGAAGGGACGUCCCCAAAUGACACUCGGAGGCCGCCUCCCUGGGCUCCGGUGCUCGGUGCCGGGAGGAGCGGCACGGCUUUCUACCCCGCCUCAGGUGCGCCAGCACGUUUUCUGGGCAGCAUCUGUGUGUUAGGCGACCGGAGAGGUGGGUUCCUUAUAGGGAAUAAGAAAACUGAAACUGACUUCCAACUGCAGGCAGAAGGAAGCAGUGGUCAUUGCUGGAGGUUAAAACUGUUCUGACCGGGCGCAGUGGCUCACGCCUGUAUUCCCAGCACUUUGGGAGGCUGAGGCGAGCAGAUCACGAAGUCAGGAGAUCAAGACCAUCCUGGCCAACAAGGUGAAACCCCGGCUCUACUAAAAAUACAAAAAUUAGCUGGGCGUGGUGGCGCGCGCCGGAAGUCCCAGCUACUUGGGAGGAUGAGGCAGAAGAAUCGCUUGAACCCGGGAGGCGGAGGUUGCGGUGAGCCGAGAUCGCGCCAUUGCACUCCAGCCUGGCGACUCAGCGAUACUCCGUCCCCCUCUCCCCGCCCCAAGAAAAAUCUGUUCAGUGGGGAGCGACAAGGAAGGAGCUUUCAGCCCGACUGGGGUCGCAGGGAAGAAUUCAAGAUGGCGUGUUUAGGAGCUCUAGCUCCUUGACAAAUUAGUAAAAUGUUAGUCUUAGGAGAAGAACGAAAAGGCUCUCCUAGGCUAAGAAACAGCAUACACAGUGAGAAACCUCAGAAGAAAUAAAAUUCAAGGAAGAUAGCAACAACGAAAACAUCAGAAGGAACACUAAAGUAGUCAAAUCAGCCUAGCAGAAACAAAGUACGUUAACCAAUGGAAAACUGACGGAGAGAAAUAAACUGUUUUUGCACAGCUAAAUGGAAAUGACUUUUGAAUUAUCUGCUUUGGAAGAUUAUCCAUGACACUGUUCUGCCCUGCUCUGCUCUAACAACAUUUGUAAGUCACUCAACAGUUAAUAAUAAAAGUCAGUUUUGAAUAUUGCAGGUUUUAGACACAGAACAAAUGUAAUGUGACACUGUAGGAAGAAUGAAUUCUCCUUAGUCCCAAAUUCCUUUUUUUUUUCUUAGAUUCGGGAAUAAGUAAAGAUACAAGAUCCUCUUAACCAGUAUCAGUAUAAUUGUUCCCUUUAGAUUUAUUGCUGUCACCCCAAUGCUCUUCUUUCUUUCUAGAGGAAAGGAAAAGAAGGAGGUAAUAGGAAAAGUAAUGGGUUGUCCUGAUGUUACUGUGUCUAGGAUGUCAUUGCCACUGGUCUCCUCAGAUCAAUCAUUCUGCCUAAUAAACAGAAAAAUAACAUGGGCAGCCUCACAUGCAAGCCUUUACACACACUGCUAAAGAGACCUCGCUUCCUCUGAGAAGUGAGGAUGUGAGAAUGAAGGAUUGAUUUUACAGAACUGGAUGACAGGUUAAAUUGGGCAUCUGGAGGUUUAUAUUCCCAUCUCCACUCACCAAGUUUCAUCCUCCAUUUAUGACCAAGGAUAGGUAUAACAUCUGAUCUUGAUGGUUACUGUUUCAAAAAACAAUCUGAUCUUUUUUAUAAAGUUAAACAUUUACUUAAUCAUGCAGCAUACUAAUUCCCACUCCUGGGUAUUUAUCCGAGUGACAUAAAAACAAGUUCACACAAAACCUGUAAACACAUAUAUGUCUUUAUUCAUAUAAUAGAAAAAACACAAACCCUAAAAUGGAAAAAACAUAAUGUCCUUCACCUGGUGAUAUGGUUUGGUUCUGUGUCCCCACCCAAAUCUCAUCUCAAAUUGUAAUACCCACGUGUUGAAGGAAGGACCUAUAACCUUCACGUGUCAAGGGAGGGAAGUGAUUGGAUGAUGGGGGCGGUUUCCCCCAUGCUGUUCUUGUGAUGGUGCAUGAAUUCUCACCAGAGAUGAUGGUUUUAAAAGUGUUUGGCAGUUCUUCCUUCAUUCACACACACUCACUGUCUCUCCCCUGUGCCACAUAAGAUGAGCUUGCUUCCCUUCUACCAUAACUGUAAGUUUCUGAAGUCCUCCCCAGCCAUGCAGAACUAUAAGUAAAUUAAACCUCUUUUCUUUAUAAAUUACCUAGUCUCAGGUAUGUCUUUAUAGCAGUGUGAAAAUAGGCUAAUACAUCUGGUGAAUCAAUAAUUAAAAUGUAGCAUAGCUAUAAAUGGAAUACUACUCAGUAAUAAAAGAAUAACUCGAUACAUACAAUAAUAUUGAUGAAUCUCAAAUGCAUUAUGGGAAGUAAAAGAAGCCAGGCUCCACUUAUGUGACAUUCUGGAAAAAGGAAGACUAUACGGUCAGAAAACAGAUCAGUGUUUGCCAGGACUUGGGGGUGGGGGGUGGGGAGUGAUUGACUACAAAAGGGCAUGAAGAAAUUUUGAAGGGGAGGUAUGGAACAGGUCUGUAUCUUGACUGCAGUGGAGUUAUUGAUACUUACCAAACUGUACAAUAAAAAGUAAAUUUUUAUUGUAUGAAAAUUAUGCCUAAAUUAAAAACUAUUAAUAAAAUCAGCAUUAGCAAAAUAUAUGAGUUUAUACACAAGAGACUACUCAACCAUUGGGUAAACUAAUUAUUUUUAAACAAAUACCAUUGAUUUUAAUCUUUUUAUAGUUUUUAUACAGGCAGAGAAAUAAUAGUGAUUCUGCUCACCUAAAGGAAGAUAGACCCAAUUCAAAGGUACAGAAUUUUCCCCAAAUAGUAUCAUAAUUUUUCCUUUCAGAUUCCAAAGGAUUUGCAUGUAAAUUCUAUCAUGUGAUCCUCAGAACCACCCUAUGAGGGUAAGCAGAACAGAUGAUCCAUGAUAUUCCAUUUUAUAAAUGAGGUGCAGGUUAAAUAUUUAGCCAGUAUUUCUUGAUAAGUAUAGUCCAUUUAUUUCAACAAACCUUGAUUGAGGGCCCCAAUACUUGUUGAGCUUUUGCUGAGCCACCCCUGCUCUAGAGGAGCACAUGCUCUGGAAAUCUCUAAGGAAACUACUACAACUCUAAAUAGAUAUGGUGUAUAGUGAUACUGUGACUAAAUAUUCACUGCAAAUUUCCUCUAAAAUUAUAGAUAUACAUUACUGGAAUAAUUAGUAUCUCAACAUCUUCAUUAACUAUGAAUCUACUAUGUAUAUAUCAUCACCAUGUGAGUAUUAAUUUGGUACAAAUAGGCUGCCAACUCUAAAAUUAUUUGAUGUAGGGCAAGUACUUUUAUCUUUUUAGCCAUAAAUUUUCUCAUCUGUAAAAUGAGAGGAGUAGGCAUGUGAUCAUUAAAUCCUGGGUUACGGUAGGAGGCAUCAAUAUGAAAUGUUUAGCUUAAUAUAGAUACAGAUGGGUAAAUAUAGAAAUACUUAAAAAUGCAUGUGGAUUCAUGUUUAAUACAUUAGUAUACACACAUAUAUUUCCAAGUUCUGUCCUCCGAAGGCCUAGAAGCAAUGACAAGCAGAAGCAAGGAGCACACCCAGCAUCCAGUUUUUUGUUUCUAAUACUGUUCUCCAACAAAGGGAACCAGAGCCCUUGAGAAAAAUGCCUAAUUCUAGGACUGGGGCAGGGGAUAUACAAGAUGAGUCUGAAACAUCUUAUAGUGCCAGAAAAUAAACAAGUGCUUUAAAAAGACACAAAAAACUGAUGGUAUAUCAAAGUGACAUAGGAGCCAACUAAAAGAGCUCCCAAUAGCUAAAGCUAGAAUAAUUCAAAAAAUAAGUAAUUCAGCAUUGGAUUUAACCCAAAUUAUAAAAUAAGAUCCAUGAGUUCAUACUGAUACAAGUAAAUGAUUGAAGAAACAAAUAAUUGGGAGAUAAUUCUCAUAUUGAAAAAUUCCAAAAAAUUUAUGUACUCUACCCUCGAGAAGAUGGAACAUAAUUCUCCACCCCAUAAGCAUGAGUCAAGCCUAGUAAAUGUUUUUCAAAGAGCGCAGUAUGGAAAGGAGGAAGAACACUACCUCAACCAGCUGAUCAAGGCUAACAUCUCUAGUAUGUCAUUAGUGGCAUGUAACCUUGAUAUGAUAUGAUGAGAAUAGCAUUUGAUCUUUGAUCUGUUUCCUCCCCGAAACUCAUUGCCCCAGCCUAAUCAUGAAGAAAUAUCAGACAAUCUCAAAUUAAGUACAAAAUAACCAGUACUCUUCAGAACUAUCAAGGCCACCAAAAACAAGGAAAGUAUAAGAAACUGUCACAGUCUAGAAGAGCCUGGUGAUGACUAAAUGUAAUGUGAUAUCCUGGAUGGGAUCCCAGGACAGAAAAAGAACAUUAGGUUAAACUAAAUCAAACUUGAGUAUGAAACUUCUUUUUUUUUAAGUGCCUAAGUCCUGAAUGACAACAAAAGACUGAAGAACUGACAACGAUUAGAGGACACUAAGGAGACUUAACAACUAAAUGCAAAAUGGGACCCUGAAUCUGAUCCUGGAACACAAAAACUAAAUUAGUAGAAAAGUGGUAAAAUAGGUGGUCGCGCGCCCGACCGCCGCAGUCCCAGUCGAGCCGCGACCCUUCCGGCUGCCCCCACCCCACCUCGCCGCCAUGUGCCUCCGCCGCCCAGCGCUGUUCCCGGGCGUGGCGCUGCUUCUCGCCGCGGCCCGCCUCGCGGCUGCCUCCGACGUGCUAGGACUCAGGGACGACAACUUGGAGAGUCGCAUCUCCGACACGGGCUCUGCGGGCCUCAUGCUCGUCGAGUUCUUCGCCCCCUGGUGUGGACACUGCAAGAGACUUGCUCCUGAGUAUGAAGCUGCAGCUACCAGAUUAAAAGGAAUAGUCCCAUUAGCAAAGGCUGAUUGCACUGCCAACACUAACACCUGUAAUAAAUAUGGAGUCAGUGGAUAUCCAACCCUGAAUAUGUUUAGAGAUGGUGAAGAAGCAGGUGCUUAUGAUGGACCUAGGACUGCUGAUGGAAUUGUCAGCCACCUGAAGAAGCAGGCAGGCCCAGCUUCAGUGCCUCUCAGGACUGAGGAAGAAUUUAAGAAAUUCAUUAGUGAUAAAGAUGCCUCUAUAGUAGGUUUUUUCGAUGAUUCAUUCAGUGAAGCUCACUCCGAGUUCCUAAAAGCAGCCAGCAACUUGAGGGAUAACUACCGAUUUGCACAUACGAAUGUUGAGUCUCUGGUGAACGAGUAUGAUGAUAACGGAGAUGGUAUCAUCUUAUUUCGUCCUUCACAUCUCACUAACAAGUUGGAGGACAAGACUGUGGCAUAUACAGUGCAAAAAAUGACCAGUGGCAAAAUUAAAAAGUUUAUCCAGGAAAACAUUUUUGGUAUCUGCCCUCACAUGACAGAAGACAAUAAAGAUUUGAUACAGGGCAAGGACUUACUUAUUGCUUACUAUGAUGUGGACUAUGAAAAGAAUGCUAAAGGUUCCAACUACUGGAGAAACAGGGUAAUGAUGGUGGCAAAGAAAUUCCUGGAUGCUGGGCACAAACUCAACUUUGCUGUAGCUAGCCGCAAAACCUUUAGCCAUGAACUUUCUGAUUUUGGCUUGGAGAGCACUGCUGGAGAGAUUCCUGUUGUUGCUAUCAGAACUGCUAAAGGAGAGAAGUUUGUCAUGCAGGAGGAUUUCUCGCGUGAUGGGAAUGCUCUGGAGAGGUUCCUGCAGGAUUACUUUGAUGGCAAUCUGAAGAGAUACCUGAAGUCUGAACCUAUCCCAGAGAGCAAUGAUGGGCCUGUGAAGGUAGUGGUAGCAGAGAAUUUUGAUGAAAUAGUGAAUAAUGAAAAUAAAGAUGUGCUGAUUGAAUUUUAUGCCCCUUGGUGUGGUCACUGUAAGAACCUGGAGCCCAAGUAUAAAGAACUUGGCGAGAAGCUCAGCAAAGACCUGAAUAUCGUCAUAGCCAAGAUGGAUGCCACAGCCAAUGAUGUGCCUUCUCCAUAUGAAGUCAGAGUUUUCCUACCAUAUACUUCUCUCCAGCCAACAAGAAGCUAAAUCCAAAGAAAUAUGAAGGUGGCCAUGAAUUAAGUGAUUUUAUUAGCUAUCUACAACGAGAAGCUACAAACCCCCCUGUAAUUCAAGAAGAAAAACCCAAGAAGAAGAAGGCACAGGAGGAUCUCUAAAGCAGUAGGCAAACACCACUUUGUAAAAGGACUCUUCCACCAGAGAUGGGAAAACCACUGGGGAGGACUAGGACCCAUAUGGGAAUUAUUACGUCUCAGGGCCGAGAGGACAGAAUGGAUAUAAUCUGAAUCCUGUUAAAUUUUCUCUAAGCCAUUUCUUAGCUGCACUGUUAUGGAAAUACCAGGACCAGUUUAUGUUUGUGGUUUUGGGAAAAAUUAUUGGUGUUGGGGGAAAUGUUGUGGGAGUCGGGUUGAGUUGGGGGUAUUUUCUAAUUUUUUUGUGCAUUUGGAACAGUGACAAUAAAUAAGACCCCUUUAAACUGUAAAAAAAAAAAAAAUAGGAAUGCGGUCCAUGGUUUACUUAAUCGUAUAAUAUCAGUGUUCAUUUUCUUAUUUUGAUAAUUGUCAUAAUGUUGUGUGAAAUAUUCUCUUUAGGGAGCCUGGGAAAGAAUAUAUAAGAACUCUACUAUUUUUGUAACUUUUGUGGAGGACUGCAAUCAUUUCUAAAUAAAUAGUCUUAAAAAUAACUAAAGUAAUAAAAAUAAU
rnacentral:lncRNA from 1 species